rnacentral:rRNA from 1 species
AUUGAACGCUGGCGGCAGGCCUAACACAUGCAAGUCGAGCGAGAGGCGGACGGGUGAGUAAUGUCUGGGAAACUGCCUGAUGGCGGGGGAUAACUACUGGAAACGGUAGCUAAUACCGCAUACCAUCAGAUGGGCCCAGAUGGGAGUAGCUAGUAGGUGGGGUAACGGCUCACCUAGGCGACGAUCCCUAGCUGGUUUGAUAGGAUGACCAGCUACACGGGAACUGAGAAACGGUCCAGACUCCGAGGGGAGGCAGCAGUGGGGAAUAUGGGAAAAGGGGCGAAAGCUCGAUGCAGCGAUGCCGCGUGUGUGAAGAAGGCCUUCGGGGUGUAAAGUACUUUCAGCGGGGAGGCGUUACCCGCAGAAGAAGCACCGGCUAACUCCGUGCCAGCAGCCGCGGUAAUAC